AGGACGAACGCUGGCGGCGUGCCUAACACAUGCAAGUCGAGCGAGGAGAUCCUUCGGGAUGAUCCUAGCGGCGGACGGGUGAGUAACACGUGGGCAACCUGCCUCAUAGAGAGGAAUAGCCUUCCGAAAGGGAGAUUAAUACCUCAUAACAUUGCAGUUUCGCAUGGAACAGCAAUUAAAGGAGUAAUCCGCUAUGAGAUGGGGCCCCGCGGCGCAUUAGCUAGUUGGUGAGGUAACGGCUCACCAAGGCGACGAUGCGUAGCCGACCUGAGAGGGUGAUCGGCCACAUUGGGACUGAGACACGGCCCAGACUCCUACGGGAGGCAGCAGUGGGGAAUAUUGCACAAUGGGGGAAACCCUGAUGCAGCCAACGCCGCGUGAGUGAUGACGGCCUUCGGGUUGUAAAGCUCUGUCUUCAGGGACGAUAAUGACGGUACCUGAGGAGGAAGCCACGGCUAACUACGUGCCAGCAGCUGC
rnacentral:rRNA from 1 species